rnacentral:misc_RNA from 1 species
AAGUCGUAACAAGGUCUCCGUUGGUGAACCAGCGGAGGGAUCAUUACAACGUAUCCAAACGUAUCAACCAACCCUGUGAACCCAUAGUCUCCCUUUGUAAUAGAGAUAGGAAAGCAUAUUGACGCAUGGAUGGUAGCCGAAAGCUAUUUUGUUCUGAAAGGAAUGAGAGGCGGACUAGGACGCGUCAGUAGUGUGAUUGAAAAACGUAAUGCGCUAUCGAAAGAUAGCGGGGAUGUAACACGUUUCUAUUACAAAGGCUUAUGUUCUCUAUGGAGCUGUACAUCCAUGAGUGAAGUAGAGAACGAUGUUUUUCCAAUCAACCCUUUUCACCCUUUUCCCCAUCAGUUGAUUUUAUACUGUUAAUCAUUAUGAAGAUAAUGAUUACACGUUCUUAAUUGAACACAAAUACAACUCUUAGCAAUGGAUGUCUAGGUUCUC